AGUUCGGUUGGGACUGAGUCUGCAGGUUUCAAACCUAAACAGCGCUCUUCAUCCUGGACGUGCGAUGGGGGAGGAGUCGGCCUGCUCAGUCCCCACGACAUAGCAGGACUAGGUUGACAAACAACCGAGAUGGGACACAUCUUGAGACCCUCACAGUCCUUGGAGGAAGGCAGACGAGAAAAAGACAAGAAAAGUGUUGAUUGGCUGCCCUUCUUAUUAAACAUCGACGCGUUCACUGACGAGGACGUAAACACCGAUCUGGCGUACCACGAGCGUGUGUAUUUUCGUUUCACAAAUACUGCUUCAUUUUGAGCAUCAAUUCUGAGGUGGGACGUUAUCACCACUUUUUCCACUGAGAGGUGACAGGUUCAGAGGUUGUUUGUCCACGUUUGCACAGCGUGUGAAGGGGAACUGAAAUUGGGAUCUACUUUCCAUACCUUUAUUCUAAGCAAUUAUCAAAUGCAAAAAAGGGAGGAGAGGAGGAGAAACAGAAAAAAAUGAAGAUAAACCUCAUCCCCUCCUCAAGGUUAUAUAUAAUUCUCCUUUGAAGAUAAAAUAGCAUUUGUUACAGACGUUUUGUGUUUGUGUGGUUAAGUGUGCCGCCAUAAUCUUCGUUUUUCUCAUCUAAAAAUACCACCUUCAUAAAACCCACACAAACACUCAAUCCACAUGACAGAACGAAACAAGUCAGGGCUAGAAGGUUUUAAGAGUGGCAGUGGGGAAGUGAGGGCGAGUCUGGACUGCACCUGCCUGGUUUCAAGCACUGGGUUUACAUUUCUUGCCUGAUCACUGCAGUAAGGCUGGACUGGACUCUUUCAGCCAGGUUUUAGGUGCUCCGGGCACACAGACGGGAGGAUGUGAUUUCCCCGUUUACCCUUCCCAGGUCUGAGGGCCUCCACAGCUGGCCCUCGGCUGUGGUCAGUUUUUCCCACUUCUGCCUGCUUUUUUCUUCAGACAUCUUAUGGUAGCGUCUUGCUAAUGAGGAAUUUGGUUUGAGAUUUUGUGUAGUUUUUUACUUGAUGAAAUGUCCCAGUUUUAGUUUAACAUUGUCCAUCACCAUCCUUAAGAUAUAACUUGCUGUUUAAAUACGUCUGUCAUUAUUGUUGAUUAUUUACUAAAGUUUCAUCAGACAGGUGGGGCAACCAGGGAUUUCUAUUAAGUGAGAACAAAAUACAGCGUUAAUAAGUGACUCAAAAACCUCCAAAACAUUAUGCUAAGUAAAAGAAGUAAUAUAUGAAAAGUUACAUAUGGUAUGAUUCCAUUUAUAUGAAAGAUCUAAAAUAGAUACAUCCAUAGUGAAAUAACUCAGAAUAGUAGUUGCCAGAGGCUGAGGGUAGGGGGAGAAUUGGGAGACAGUUUAAUGGACAAGGGUUUCAUUACCUUGAAGUAAGUGAAAUGUUUUGGAAUUAGAGGUAGUGGUUGGGUGACAUUGUAAAUGUAUUAAUGCCAUUGAGUUGUUCACUUUAAAAUGAUUAAUUUUAUGUUAUGUGAACCUCAAUAAUUUUUUAUAAGUGGGCAUGGUAAAAAAAGAAAUUGACUCAAAGGAUACCAUGGAGAUCU
rnacentral:lncRNA from 1 species